CUACUGUUGCUGCUGCUACUACUACUAUCAUUAGCAGCACCUAAUGCUACUACUAUCAUCACUACUGCUACUGAUUCUUGUAAUAGCCCGCAGUGUUGGAUGUGUUCUUAAGUCCCUGUCGGAAAUUGAAAGAGUACGUUUAACCAAUGUUAUGCGAUUUGGACAUUAAUCCUAAUGACAAACAAGUUCGUUGUUAAUGAGUAACGAUAUCUCUUAUCCAAAAUACAUUUAUCAAUCCUGUUGUACAUGUAUUCCCGGGAAGAUAGCAUCCCCUGAUGUCAAUCAGUCGACAGACAGCUCUGUUACAGCGAGCGUUGGGUUUUUAGAAAUAUUCCGGCAAUUUCACGGCGGGGACAACAGAAAUCGGCUUUACACAUUCUAUCCAUGUCGGGAUGGAACCCGUGCCUUCAACAGCAAGACUACGCCACUGCCCUCUUACAUGUUUCGUUUCGAACUGGACGGUUAUCAGGUGUGAAUAAAAUUAUGAGUCUCUGCUACUAAUCACCGUUUCUCUUGAAUGAAUAAAACGUAAGGAGCCCAAACCCCUUUUUCUAUUUAUAAUAGUCCUUAGUGUAUAAACAUGCAGACAUUGAGGAUUUAGAUGAAUAACUCACUCACAUGCAUAAACCGGAGCGGCUGCGCGUCUGAGGUUGUACGGUAGCAGGGCAUGCUUAAACCUUUCGUGUACACUCGAUGCAAUCACCUACUUUAUAUAAUCCAUUCCUAUGCUAUGAGUGUCAUCACUUUUUUGUAUUUUGUGCACAGUCUGUUUCGGCAUAAAGCCGACUUGUUAUGAAAUGUCAUUUUAACUGUUUGAGUGAGUGUGUGUGUGUCGAGUGGGGUGGGGUGAGUGGGGGUCACCCAUUUGUUCUGGAGAGGUAGGUUGUACGCAUGUACUGGGGGGUGUCAUUAGUUUUGUACAUGACAUGCUGGGGGUGUCACUUACUUGGCACAUAAAUUUUAGGGGGUAGGGGGGCAUUCUACGGUCUUCUCCAUAAUAUUCAUCAAACCCCACACACCCACCCACACACAGACACACUUGCACACCACACCCCAUCCACACCCCUAGCAAUAAAUUAUGAACGGUCCCUUAUUGCAAUGGGAGGGACAAUGCAACAGGCGGGACCCAGCUGAUAAGUAGCGCCAGUGCAGCAUAACCGGGGAACCAGGCUGGCUUAGUUGUGCCCAGCAGUACUUUUUGUCGGGCACAAGAUAACAGCCAGUUUAGUCAAACCAUACAUGUACAUUCAAAGAGGCACAGAAGCUUACACGAUAAAGUGCAUGGACAGUCGUAUGUUCUCACGUCAUCCUGUGGGGGUGUAGUCACUGAGGGAAGCAGCUGUGUUUUAAAUUGUGAAACUGGUUCUGCCACUGAGACACAUAUUAUUUGGAAAAGAGGUGCAAGUGUUAUUUACGAGGUGGCACGAGCAACAUGUGAAACGCCAAAAUCAGCAUCAACUAUUCCAUUUGAUUACGUCUUCGACUGUCCUGGAACUAGCUUUACUCUCAGUAUCACAUCUGCAUCUGUGAUACGUGACAAAACUACCUGGACAUGUGAUGCAGCUUUUGGUGGAAAGGAUAGCUCUAUUAACUUGGAUGUCCCAGGUUGGUAUUAAAGUAUAUUAUAGAAUAUAGACUGAAUAUGAAUGUGACAUAGAAUUCCUUAAGUUAAAUACCUAACCUCUAUUUCG